rnacentral:rRNA from 1 species
GGGGAUGCGGCAGGCCUACCAUGCAAGUCGAGCGGAUGAAGGGAGCUCUGCGUCCUGUGUACUUCAGCGGCGGACGGGUGAGUAAUGCCUAGGAAUCUGCCUGGUAGUGGGGGAUAACGUCCGGAAACGGGCGCUAAUACCGCAUACGUCCUGAGGGAGAAAGUGGGGGAUCUUCGGACCUCACGCUAUCAGAUGAGCCUAGGUCGGAUUACCUAGUUGGUGGGGUAAAGGUCUACCAAGGCGACCAUCCGUAAGUGGUCAGACAGGAUGAUCAGUCACACUGGAUCUGACACACGGUCCAUACUCCUACGGGAGGCCUCAGUGGGGAAUAUUGGACAAUGGGCGAUAGCCUGAUCCAGCCAUGCCGCGUGUGUGAAGAAGGUCUUCUGAUUGUAGAGCACUUUAAGUUGGGAUGAAGGGCAGUAAGUUAAUACCUUGCUGUUUUGACGGUACCAACAGAAUAAGCACCGGUUAACUUCGCGCCAGCAACCGCGUGUAAUACAAACGGUGCAAGAGUUAAUCGGGAAUUACUGGUCGUAAAGCGCGGGUAGGUGGUUCAGCACGUGGGAUGUCAAAUCCCCGGGGCUCAACCUGGGAACUGCAUCCAAAACUACUGAUUCUAGAGUACGGUAACGGGUGUUGGAAUUUCGUGUGUAGCGGU